rnacentral:rRNA from 1 species
AGUGAACGCUGGCGGUAGGCCUAACACAUGCAAGUCGAACGGCAGCACAGGAGAGCUUGCUCUCUGGGUGGCGAGUGGCGGACGGGUGAGGAAUACAUCGGAAUCUACUUUUUCGUGGGGGAGAACGUAGGGAAACUUACGCUAAUACCGCAUACGACCUACGGGUGAAAGCAGGGGACCUUCGGUCCUUGCGCGAGUGAAUGAGCCGAUGUCGGAUUAGCUAGUUGGCGGGGUAAAGGCCCACCAAGGCGACGAUCCGUAGCUGGGCUGAGAGGAUGAUCAGCCACACUGGAACUGAGACACGGUCCAGACUCCUACGGGAGGCAGCAGUGGGGAAUAUUGGACAAUGGGCGCAAGCCUGAUCCAGCCAUACCGCGUGGGUGAAGAAGGCCUUCGGGUUGUAAAGCCCUUUUGUUGGGAAAGAAAUCCAGCUGGCUAAUACCCGGUUGGGAUGACGGUACCCAAAGAAUAAGCACCGGCUAACUUCGUGCCAGCAGCCGCCGUAA